AGAGUUUGAUUCUGGCUCAGAACGAACGCUGGCAGCGUGGAUUAGGCAUGCAAGUCGAACGAGAAUUCAUGGAUUCAAGUCUUCGGACAAGAAUUUGUGGAGGAGAGUGGCGGAAGGGUGAGGAAUACGUGGGUAAUUUACCUUUAAGUUGAGGAUAACUUUGCGAAAGCGGAGCUAAUCCUGAAUGUGAUCGUUCCGGGCAUCCGGAAUUGUUUAAAGGUAGGGAUCCGGGGCGCGCAAGCGUCUCGGACCUGUCGCUUGAAGAUGAGCCCGCGUCCCAUCAGCUAGUUGGUGUGGUAAUGGCUCACCAAGGCUUACGGGUAGCUGGUCUUAGAGGAUGAUCAGCCACACUGGGACUGAGAUACUGCCCAGACUCCUACGGGAGGCUGCAGUCGAGGAUCAUUUGCAAUGCGCGAAAGCGUGACAAUGCGACGCUGCGUGGAGGAUGAAGGCCUUCGGGUUGUAAACUCCUGUCAUUUGGGAACAAUAUCAGGGGGAUGAAUAUUCCCUCUGGUUGAUGGUACCAAAAGAGGAAGUCACGGCUAACUCUGUGCCAGCAGCCGCGGUGAUACAGAGGUGGCAAGCGUUGUUCGGAUUUACUGGGCGUAAAGGAUGCGUAGGUGGUUUUGUAUGUCAGAUGUGAAAGCUCACUGCUCAACAGGGAAAGUGCAUUUGAAACUACAAGACUAGAGUACAGGAGAGGAGAGUGGAAUUCUUGGUGUAGCGGUGAAAUGCGUAGAUAUCAAGAAGAACACCGGUGGCGAAGGCGGCUCUCUAGACUGAUACUGACACUGAGGCAUGAAAGCUGGGGGAGCAAACAGGAUUAGAUACCCUGGUAGUCCCAGCCGUAAACGUUGUACACUUGGUGUGGGGGGGAUUGACCCCCUCCGUGCCGGAGCUUACGCGUUAAGUGUACCGCCUGGGGAGUACGGCCGCAAGGCUAAAACUCAAAGAAAUUGACGGGUCCCCGCACAAGCGGAGGAGCAUGCGGCUCAAUUCGAUGCAACGCGAAGAACCUUACCAGGGCUUGACAUGCAACUCCACGUCCCGUGAAAGUGGGACUCCUUCGAGGGUGUUGCACAGGUGCUGCAUGGCUGUCGUCAGUUCGUGCCGUGAGGUGUUUGGUUAAGUCCAUCAACGAACGCAACCCUUGUGUUUAGUUGCCACUGCCGGUGAUGAGCCGGUGAGCACUCUAAACAGACUGCCCGUGUUAAGCGGGAGGAAGGUGGGGAUGACGUCAAGUCCGUAUGGCCUUUAUGCCCUGGGCUGCACGCGUGCUACAAUGGCCGGUACAAAGGGAAGCAAUACCGCGAGGUGGAGCAAAUCCCCAAAAACCGGUCUCAGUCCGGAUUGGAGUCUGCAAUUCGACUCCAUGAAGCUGGAUUCGCUAGUAAUGGCACAUCAGCUACGGUGCCGUGAAUACGUUCCCGGGGAUUGUACACACCGCCCGUCACAUCAUGAAAGCUGUCUGCACCAGAAGUUAUUCAUCUAACCCGCAAGGGGGGAAAAUACCGAAGGUGUGGGGAGUAAUUGGGAUGAAGUCGUAACAAGGUA
rnacentral:rRNA from 1 species